ACACGACUACAUUAGAUACCCCCGUAGUCCUAGCCGUAAACGAUACUCGCUAGGUGUCGGCCACGGUGCGACCGUUGUCGGUGCCGUAGGGAAGCCGUGAAGCGAGCCACCUGGGAAGUACGGCCGCAAGGCUGAAACUUAAAGGAAUUGGCGGGGGAGCACCACGACGGGAGGAGCGUGCGGUUUAAUUGGAUUCAACACCGUAAAGCUCACCAGGGAAGACUGUUACAUGAAGGCCGAGAUGAAGACUCUGCUAGAUUUUCAG
rnacentral:rRNA from 1 species